rnacentral:rRNA from 1 species
GAAUCCCGUCUUUGGCACGGACCCCCAGGGCUUUUGUGAUGCGCUCUCGAAGAGUCGAGUUGUUUGGGAAUGCAGCUCAAAAUGGGUGGUGAACUCCAUCUAAAGCUAAAUAUUGGCGAGAGACCGAUAGCGAACAAGUACCGUGAGGGAAAGAUGAAAAGCACUUUGGAAAGAGAGUGAAACAGUACGUGAAAUUGUUGAAAGGGAAACGCUUGAAGUCAGUCGCGUCGGCCGAGACUCAGCCUUGCCUCGGCUUGGUGUACUUCUUGACCGACGGGUCAGCAUCAAUUUUGCCCCUUGGAUAAUGGCGAGGGAAAUGUGACACCUUUAUAGGUGUGUUAUAGUCUCUCGUCGCAUGCAAGGGUCGGGAUUGAGGAACUCAGCACGCGCCUUCGGGCGUCGGGGCCUUGCCCACGAUACGUGCUUAGGAUGUUGGCGUAAUGGCUUUAAACGACCCGUCUUGAAACACGGACCAAGGAGUCUAACAUGCCCGCGAGUGUUCGGGUGGAAAACCCGUGCGCGCAAUGAAAGUGAAAGUUGGGACCUCUGUCGCGGAGGGCACCGACGCCCGGACCAGAGCUUCUGCGACGGAUCUGCGGUGGAGCGUGUAUGUUAGGACCCGAAAGAUGGUGAACUAUGCCUGAAUAGGGUGAAGCCAGAGGAAACUCUGGUGGAGGCUCGUAGCGAUUCUGACGUGCAAAUCGAUCGUCAAAUUUGGGUAUAGGGGCGAAAGACUAAUCGAACCAUCUAGUAGCUGGUUCCUGCC